UUUGCUGAAGGAGACACCCCCAACCCCCUUUCGGUUUCUCCGCCGCUGAGAUUGUACUGGCAGCGCAUAUAACCAGCAGUAGCCUAAUUGUGAUCUGACGUGUAACAAUAGGUCUGAAUAAGUGACCUGAGAAAAACAAGGCAAGUGUCUAAACACCCAGCCCACUCCGCGGGACUCCUGGGGACAACUGGCCGACUGGGAUCCGGCAAAUCGCAGACUUUCAGCAGGGGUCAUGGCAUCAACAUAAAAGGUGAUAGUGAAGUCAAUUGAAAAGAUCAUUGGUGCUCCUUCGCCCUCUCACCAACUCUGCACUGGCAGGUCCCCCAGCGUUACCAUCCUCUCUCCUGCAAUCCGAAAAAAGCCAAGAACUGUCAACCCAAGGAGUCCGAGAAACUAAUCGAGAAAUAAAAUCAGACGGGGCUGAUGUGGCUCCCAUCCUAUUUAAAUUCCCAAGCGUCCUAUAAGAAUUAAAAAAGGAUCGAACGUACUUUGGAUAUGGGAAGGCAUCUUUCCAGUGGUGCUGUUAUGGGGAGAUCCAGACAAGGGCCAAUUUCCCAGGGUGGCAUCAUUGAUGGGACACCACAGGGAACCUGCACAUCUGAGUAGAUGGCUCAAGUACACCAGAACUGCCACUGGGUGUCACAGCUGCUGCUACUAACAGAGAGCCAUCAGAAUGUAACCCUGACUAACGAGGGUACUACAUAUCCUGGACAAUUAGCCUAUUAAAAUGGCCAACCAUGCUUUUCACCAUAUUAGUGCUGCAUAACAACAAGCAAGGGUCCAUCUGGCAAGGCAACACUGCGUGCUUCGACAUUCAUAGCACCGAAACGAACCACUUUUUAAAGCAGCAAAACUAAAGAUGAAUAAAAAAUAAAGUAAAAAAAUAAAAGGAAA